UAUAUUCUACGGUAGGAGAAAUCGCUGCUGAAUUUGAACCAAGAAGUGAUUUUGAGAAAAAAAUUGCUUCUCUUUUUGAUGACCAUGAGGUCGUUGAAGCUCAUAGAAAAGAUGGUGCAAGACUUCUUGAACUUAAUAAGAUAUCCGUAGAAGAUGUGAGGGAGCGCCAAGACCAGCUUGCUAAGAUGCGUAGUCUUCUUUUCCGUCAUGAAAUGAAGGCAAAACGAGUCAAGAAGAUAAAGUCAAAAGUGUAUCAUCGUUUGCUAAAAAAGGAUAGAUUGAAACAAGCAGGUACUACAACUGAAACAGAUCCAGAAGCAGCUAAAGAGCAGGCCAUGAAACAAGAAUUCAAAAGGGCAGAGGAACGCUUGACUUUGAAGCACAAGAAUAGCUCCAAGUGGGCAAAGCGCAUCUUAAAACGUGGAUUGGAUGUGCAAGAUGAUGGAACACGAGCUGCUAUUGCUGAACAACUGAAUCAACAUGCCCUUUUGUCCAGAAAAGCAAAUAAUAUGAAUGAGAGCAGUAGUAGUGAAGAAAGCAGUGAUGAGGAUGACCUUGAUGAGGCCUCUGAUGGAUCAGAUCAGGAUGCUGCAGUAAAACUGUUGAAGAAAGCGAAGGAAAAGACUGCCGCAGUCUUAGAAGGGGACGAAGAAUUGCCAGCAUCAGGAGUGCUUUCUUUACCUUUCAUGGUACGGGGAUUGAAAAGAAGGAGAGAGGCGGCCAAUGAAGAAGCAAAGCUUGCUCUAGAAGAGUUUGAGUCAUCGUUGAAGGAAUUAGAAGACAAGAACGAGCCAAAAACUCAAGAAACAAAUAUUCUGACUGGCAGGAGGGUUUUUGGUGCUCAAAAAGAGCAGGCACCUGAACCCAAAAAGAAAGCGACAUCAGACAAUUAUUAUGGUGACAGUGAUAGUGAAGGCGAGACAGAUGCCAGAGAAAAUGGCAUCAGUGCUCAUGAAGAAAAUAAUUUAUCUCAGAGGGAAGUUCAUUUUGAUCCCAAUUUACUUCGUGAAGAGUCUGAGAUUAAUCAUGAUUCUCUGUUUAAGAGUUUUGACGACAUUGCGAGAGACCCAGGCUCAAAGACAUCAUACGAAGUUUCCAUUUUUGCAGCCAACUCAUGGAAAAAGAUGAAUGAUUCAUCAGCUAAAGGGAAGCAGAAGAAAUCUGCAAAUGCAAAGAGUGCAACCUCUUUACAGAUCACAGAACCUGUUGAGAGUAAACCUGAUGGGGAGGAAAUUUAUGAGGAUAGCGAUACUGAUAGUGGAGGAGAAAUGGUUGAUGGAAUUUUAACAUCUGGGACUAAGUCCACAUAUGAAAUCCCAUCUCAAGAAGAGCUUAUUCGGCGUGCUUUUGCUGGUGAUGAUGUUGAAGACGACUUUGAGAGAGAAAAACAAGAUGCGUUGAAUGAGGAAGUUCCAGAGCCUGAGAAGCCUGUUUUACUGCCUGGUUGGGGACAAUGGACCAAUAUACAAAAGAAGAGAGGUCCGCCUUCUUGGAUGCUUGAAGAACAUGAUAAUGCCAAAAAGAAAAGGGAAGAAGCUCUCAAGAAGAGGAAGGAUGCUAACCUGAAUCAUGUUAUCAUCUCCGAAAAGAGGGAUAAAAAGGCUGAGAAUUUAUACACGCCAACAUUACCUUAUCCGUUUACUUCCCAAGAACUUUUUGAGGGGAGCAUUCGGAUGCCCAUUGGACCUGAAUUCAACCCCGGAACAGCACUUCCAGCUCUUAUCCGCCCAGAGGUGGUAAAGAGGAGCGGUAGUAUCAUAAAGCCAAUCAAAUUCAAGGAGGUAAAUCCCCAUGAAAAAGGACAGGACCACAAACGUGGUGGUGUGCAGAAAAAGAAGGGUGGUAAAAGUAAGGGCAAACCCACAAAAUAGACUGUGGGGGUGAGAACCAUGAGGUUUGACAUUCUCACGAAGAAAUCUGUAUGGAGAAUCUGCAGUUCCGAGAUCCCUUGGUUGAUAAAUCAGUACUCAUGGUCUUUCUUGCCAUGUUCUUGUUUCGUCUUCACAGUUGGGGCCUUGUUUCUGCUUUCAUAGAAAGCAGUUUUACACAAUGAAGGCUCGCGAAUCAUGAAAAUGCAAUGGUUUACUCUUCACAGAUGCAGCAAAAGGAGUUCUAUUUUUGGUUCUAAUGUAAUUCUUUAGCAGAUGGUUCUAUAGUUCUUGUGAGUGUAUUAAGUGAAGUAGCUAUUUUGGGAUUUGAAAGUAUUUAAUAUAUGUAUAAUUGGUUCAAGUGAAGCAGAGGGGAUACAAAAUUUUGUUUCAUCUAUUGCAAGUUUAGAACUUAGCUAUGAUUUUCUUAAAACGAAUAUCGAGUAUGAAAUGU
rnacentral:misc_RNA from 1 species